ensembl:lncRNA
AUCAUAAAGACCUGAGCCAAGAUAAGGGGAUCCCCCCCUGUUCCCAAGAAUCCAUGGAAACACUGAUAGACAUGAGGGAAGCCUAUCAGGAGGCAGGCAGGGGAGGCAGUCAAGAUGUGUCUCUGCCCAGUUUGCACAAGAGCAACAACAGCAGACACCGGGGCCAUGCAGACCAUCCUCUGGCAUCUGGCUUGCUGAGUGUGAGAAGCCCCUGCCAGCCAGUACCCCCACCACACAGGAGACGAAGAACAAGAAGUGUGGUUGCUGCAUCGCCACCCUCCCACUUGUUGUCUGUGCCAGAGCCCAGUCAGCUCAGCCAAUCGGCUCCCAGCAUCAUGGAACCUCUGCUGUGUCCAAACACUAUGAUGCAGGCCAGAGCACACAUCCAGACCCGGUUGGGUUCUCAUCAUACUAUAAAUGAACAAAAGGGUCUCCUGCCCCGAACACCAAAACUCUUGGCACCCCUGGACAAACGCUUCAGAGACGGCACCGCUCUGCCUGUACUAAAGCAACAUGUUCCCCUGAAGCCCAUCAGUCAGAGCCCUAUUUCUACAAGGACCAGGUUGAAAAGAGAGAGACUGUCCUGGGG